GACGAACGCUGGCGGCGUGCUUAACACAUGCAAGUCGAGCGGUAAGGCCCUUUCGGGGGUACACGAGCGGCGAACGGGUGAGUAACACGUGGGUGACCUGCCCUCAGCUCUGGGAUAAGCCUGGGAAACUGGGUCUAAUACCGGAUAUGACUCCAUGACGCAUGUUGUGGGGUGGAAAGCCUUGUGCGGCUGAGGAUGGGCCCGCGGCCUAUCAGCUUGUUGGUGGGGNGAUGGCCUACCAAGGCGACGACGGGUAGCCGGCCUGAGAGGGCGACCGGCCACACUGGGACUGAGACACGGCCCAGACUCCUACGGGAGGCAGCAGUGGGGGAA
rnacentral:rRNA from 1 species